rnacentral:lncRNA from 1 species
CAGAUCUUUGUUUUGUUUCAUAUUCUGCAUCUGGGUUUUGGGUUUUAUUUGAAUACGUUUAGUGUACAAUUUUCAAGAUUCUUUUUUGGGUAUGUUUAGGAAAAAUACAACAAGAAAGUGAAAGGAAAACUAGAUUAGAUGUCUUUUUUUCCCCUUCUUUUCCCCCUUUUUAUGGGUUUCGGGUUAUCUUUCUGAGUUGUAUUUAGCUCUUGUAGUUCAGUUCUUGCAUACACCUAAUAAGCAUAUAUACUUUAUUUUGGUUAAGAUUAAAAUUUGAGUUAAUUUAGUUGAUGCUUAAUAGGAUGGAUUGUAUAGCUGGAUCCUUGCUAUCUUAUGAAUGUUGGGAAUGACAUUGAUGAUUUUCCUAAUUGCAUUUUCUAUUAUUAUCCAAGUUAUCUACUCCUAUAAUUGAAAGGUUUUUAGGCUUUGUGUUCCAUAAUUGCAUUAGCACAGAAUGCUGGCUGAUGUUUAAGGCUUCUGUUGGAAAAGUUUUAGACUUUUUGUUUCUUUGCAAUGGUAUGCGACUAGAAGUUUACUUGCUAUAAUUGUUACUAUUUUGGGAUUUUGAUCAAUGAUGAAGAGUUCUUUGGUGAGUUAUGAGAAAAAUCUACGCUGUACUCCAUGUUAUUAGGACAAAGGGUUGGUUUUAAAUAACGGUCAUAACCGUGGUAGCAGCCUUGGAGAUGUGGAAUGAAGUAGGCAUUACUUAAUGGUCACGGAUACUAGACGCAUGGAUAUACUUUUUGAAUUUACUCCAACCCGAGAACAUGAUGAUAUCUCGUUUCUAUAACUUUUAGAUCAUAAAAUUUAGUGUUUUCUAUAUUAUCAUAAAUGUGGCAUUGUUUACCUUGUGAUUUUAUUUAUUACAAUUUGCUAUUAUGGAUAGACACUUAUAGACAAAUGAGUAUCAAGUAAAAGAUAACAGGAAAAUCACCGAUUUUUUUUUUACUUUUUAACAAAGAUAUCUAUAUCCAUAUUAAGUUUAAAUCGUGAGUAGAUGAUCUCAUUAGUGUCCUCUCAUUAUCAUACUGUUUUGACUAGCCUUGAGAAGGUUAGUGGCAAAAAAAAGUUAAUGGAAAAUAGAAUUUAUAAAUUUAAAGCAUUUGACAUUUUCUAUGAUUUUCGGACAGAAAUAAAUGCAAGGAUCUUUAAUAGGGGAUGUCUAUUUAUGUCAUUCGAAAAGUGUUUUUUUU